UUUUCCUACGGGGGGCAGCAGUGAGGAAUAUUGGUCAAUGGGCUUACGCCUGAACCAGCCAAGUCGCGUGAGGGAAGACUGCCCUAUGGGUUGUAAACCUCUUUUGUCAGGGAGCAAUUGGCGCUACGUGUAGCGUUAUCGAGAGUACCUGAAGAAAAAGCAUCGGCUAACUCCGUGCCAGCAGCCGCGUUAAUACGGAGGAUGCGAGCGUUAUCCGGGUAUACUGGGUUUAAAGGUUGCGUAGGUGGAAUGCCAAGUCAGCGGUAAAAU
rnacentral:rRNA from 1 species